AUAAGAAACCGCAUCGGCAAAUGAGGCAACCGUCUAAAUAAAGGGGAAAAUGGCAACUCUAAACAGUUCGCUUCUCUCUCUUCCCCAUAGCCCAAACCCGCCCAUUCUAACUGUCAAAAACGACCGUCCCUCCACGAGCCACCCACAAACCCUCUCUCUCAUCGACCAAUGCACCAACUUAAAGCAUCUCAAACAGCUCCAUGCUCAAAUGCUCCGUUCGGGCCUCUUUUUUCACCCUUACUCAGCCAGCAAACUUUUCGCUGUGGCUGCUUUCUCAUCCUUCUCCAGCCUCGACUAUGCUCGCAAGGUGUUCGACCAUAUUCC
rnacentral:misc_RNA from 1 species